AUGAUGGCGAGAUUCGCCAGUCUAGCGAUCCUUUAUCUGAUCUCUCAUCUACUGCUGCGCUCCUCUGCAGCACCAUCGGUACAGCACACGCUGGGCACCGGGUCGUCCCUGUCGGUGGAAGACCACGAGCGGCCGUUCCUGGUGUCACAGGACGCCACCUUCUCUUGCGGCUUCCUCCAGGCCGGCGACAAUGCCUUCUACUUCUCCGUCUGGUUCACCGCCGCCAAGAACCGGACCGCCGUCUGGACGGCCAACCCUGGCGCCCCGGUGAACGGCCGGGUUUCCAGCAUAUCCUUCAGCCCCGAAGGCCAGCUGGCUCUGGCCGAUGCCAACGGGACAACUGUGUGGAACAGCAAGACUGGCGGCAAGAGGCACCUCACCGUCUCCCUCCGCGACACCGGGAAUCUUCUCAUCGCCGACCCGUCAACCGGCCGCGCCGUCUGGCAGAGCUUCGACUGGCCGACGGACACCCUGCUCCCGUCGCAGACGCUGUCCAAGGACAAGAAGCUCGUCGCCGGCUACUACGCCCUCUACUACGACAACGACAACGUGCUGCGCCUCCUGUACGACGGCCCGGAGAUCGCCAGCAUCUACUGGCCGAACCCGGACCAUAACGUGUUCGACAACGGCCGGACAAACUACAACAGCUCACGGGUCGGCGUCCUCGACCACACCGGCGUGUUCCUCUCCAGCGACAACCUGCGAGUCGAGGCCUCCGACCUGGGCGCCGCCAGCGUCAAGAGACGGCUAACUAUCGAGCAAGACGGAAACGUGAGGAUCUACAGCCUGAACGCGGCCGGAGGAACGGUCACGUGGGCGGCGCUAAAGCAGCCGUGCUCCGUGCACGGGCUGUGCGGCAAGAACGCCCUCUGCGAAUACCAACCGUCCCUCCGAUGCUCGUGCGCGCCGGGGUACGAGAUGGUCGACCGCCAGGACUGGAGAAAGGGCUGCAAGCCAACGUUCAGCCUCCCCACCGGAACCACCAACUGCAGCGAAGCUCCGGCGUCGGAGCGGUUCACGUUCGUCCAGGUGGCAGCAACCGACUUCUACGGCUACGACCUCGGCUUCAACCAGUCCGUCACCUUCGAAUACUGCAAGAGCAUGUGCUUGAAGAUGUGCUCCUGCGCCGCCUUCGCCUACAGGUUGGAUGGCCGGGGCAAUUGCUUCCCAAAAGGCGUCCUGUUCAACGGCUACACGUCGCCGGCGUUCCCCGGAAGCAUAUAUCUCAAGGUGCGUAGCGAUCUCAACCUCAACGCCACCGCGCCGCAGCUGUCGGUACAUGCCACGGGCCUCGCCUGCAAUCGUAACGGUUCUCGUACCGCCCCCACGAUACGCGGACACGUACGGACACCUAGCGGCGGCACAAAAUGGUCCUACUUUUUUGCGUUCGCCGCGGUGCUUGGAUUUCUGGAGCUUCUAAUCGUCGCCGCGGCGUGGUGGUUCCUGUCCAGCCAGGAGAGCAUACCCAGCUCGCUGCAGGCAGGAUACAGGCUGGUCAUGGCGACCCAGUUCAGGAGGUUCACGUACCGGGAGCUCAAGGACGCGACUGGGAACUUCAACGAGGAGCUCGGCCGCGGCGGCUCCGGCGUGGUGUACCGCGGCGUGCUUGAUAAGACCACCGUGGUGGCGGUGAAGAAGCUGACAAACGUGGUGCAGGGCGAGGAGGAGUUCUGGGAGGAGAUGACGGUGUUCGGGAGGAUCAACCACAUCAACCUGGUGAGGAUCUGGGGGUUCUGCUCCGAGGGAAAGCACAAGUUGCUGGUGUACGAGUACGUGGAGAAUGAGUCACUGGACAGGCACCUGUUCGGCAAGGACAUUGGCAAGUCACUGGCGUGGAGCGAGCGGUUCAAGAUCGCGUUGGGCACGGCCAGGGGCCUAGCCUACCUUCACCAUGAGUGCCUCGAGUGGGUCAUCCACUGCGACGUCAAGCCGGAGAAUAUCCUGCUCACGCGCGACCUCGACGCAAAGAUCGCCGACUUUGGGCUAGCCAAGCUGUCCGGAAGAAACCCCAUAGGCAAUGGCGACGUCGCCGACACCGGCGUGCAGCUCUCCCACAUGAGGGGGACGAUGGGGUACAUGGCACCGGAGUGGGCGCUGGGCUUGCCGGUCGACGCCAAGGUCGAUGUGUACAGUUACAGCAUUGUGCUUCUGGAGAUCGUGAUUGGGAGCAGGAUCUCUGACCAGACGACCACGGACGGCGCGGAGCGGCUAGAGAUGUGGCAGAUCGCGCAGGCACUGAAGCAGGUGGUGGCGAGUGGAGACAUCAUGUCAUUAGUGGAUAACAGGCUGAACGGGCAGUUCAACCCUCGGCAGGCCAUGGAAAUGGUGAAGAUUUCCUUAUCGUGCAUGGAGGAGAGGAGCAACAGGCCGACCAUGGAUGACAUCUCCAAAGCUCUUACAGCGUGCGAUGACGAGGAUGAGCACCCUGCGUACUUAUCGUGA
rnacentral:rRNA from 1 species